CAAAGCCUGCCUCCGGGAUGGCUUUCAAAGCUUCCAGCGUGAUUUGAAAGUUUUUUUUUUUUUCCUUUUUUUUUUUUCCUCUUUCUUUUUUUUUUCUUCUUCUUUCCUCUGUCGGAAAAUAUUUAGAUUAGAUUUACACUUAAGACGGCAACGUUGCGGCGGCGGCCGCAAGGUUUUGAGCAUAAAAGGAAACUAAACAAACUGAAACCCGCGUGAACAGGCUCAGAAAUGGUGAUUGUAGUAUUUAAAAUGUUGUUUUGAAAUGUAAUUUAACUGCAGACCGGUCAGAUCCGCAGGCUGAUACCCUAAUCCCAAGUGAAGAUUCCCGUUGGUUUAAGGAGCUUCUGUUGGACUGUUCUCUGGACACAGAAGAAACAGCAGAAAGUGGGUAGCUUUUUCUUUCAAGAGUUGAAAGCAGCACUCGUUUGAGGUUUUAAGAAGAUUUGGAGAACGGGGAUUGAUCUACUAACAUCAGAGAAGAAAUCUGGUGGCAAAUAUCAAAACCUCAUAGAAUAUUUUACCACUCAAAGAUAUUACACCAAGAGCAGCUCUGUUGCCUUUGUGGCAGUCCUUCAAAUAGAUGCUCCCAUUGACUAGAGACCUCCCUGCCCAGUCUUCUCUCCAUCACAAAUUCAGCUGCUGAAUGGAUGGACUUCUACGGGUCAGAACUGAAGCUUGGGAUAGAGGGCUGCAGUUUGGAAUCUGCUGCAUCUCAUCAAGGCUCGGCUUGCCAGUGCUGUACUGUACUUCAUUAGGCAGCUCUAUUUAAUGGUUUCAACAAAAGCCAUCAUUUUAGCCCAACUGCCUUGACUAAAUUAAAAUUUCCAAUCUCUGUUUUAGUGUUCUGCAACUGAUGUAUACAUAAGCAAAACUGGUCAACAUCUGCCAGGGGGUUGGCCAAAAGUUCUGUAAAGAUGUACUUCACAUUUCUGAAGCAUGUGCAAAGUAACAACGUACUUAUCCUCCUGAGGGCUCUCAUGAUUUUACUUCACCAUUUGUUCAGACACACUUUAGCAGCAUAUAAGCCAUACAGUUGAUUCUCCCCUUGGUUGCAGUUUUAUCUGUAGUGUCAUUUUGAGUAAUUGGGGUAUGGUAGCUGAUCAACUUUCAGGUUUCUCAUUGGCAGAAAGGGACUGUAUUGGCACCAAGAAAGAAUAUGAUGGGUCCUCUCGGUGCCUGAGCAAGUGUCCCUCUUUUGCACUUGGCUACCCAAGGCCAUUAGAAAAUAAGCUUAAUAAAGCAACUCAGUGUAUACAUCUUAACUAUUCCCAGCCAAGGGGAUGCAGCUAUAGAAGAAAUAUUUUAAACCAAUAUGAAAGAUGGUAA
ensembl:lncRNA